UGCGGCAAGGCUACACAUGCAAGUCGAGCGGUAACAGAUCUAGCUUGCUAGAUGCUGACGAGCGGCGCGACGGGUGAGUAACGCGUAGGAAUUUGCCUGAUAGAGGGGGAUAGCCCGGGGAAACUCGGAUUAAUACCGCAUACGCUCUACGGAGGAAAGCAGGGGAUCUUCGGACCUUGCGCUAUCAGAUAAGCCUGCGUGGGAUUAGCUAGUUGGUGAGGUAAAGGCUCACCAAGGCGACGAUCUCUAGCUGGUCUGAGAGGAUGAUCAGCCACACUGGAACUGAGACACGGUCCAGACUCCUACGGGAGGCAGCAGUGGGGAAUAUUGCACAAUGGGCGCAAGCCUGAUGCAGCCAUGCCGCGUGUGUGAAAAAGGCUUUCGGGUUGUAAAGCACUUUCAGUUGGGGAGAAAAAUUUGUAAUUUAAUACACUAUUAUGCCUG
rnacentral:rRNA from 1 species